UUGCGCUCAACAUUUCCGAUAAUUUUUCUAAUAUCCAAGAUUUAAUACGCAGUAAAGAAGGAGAUAUUAUUGAUUUUCAAGGACGACUAAUUGAAAAACCCAUUUUGGUAGAGGUUACAUUGAAAAACGGAGAAAGAGCAAAAAUUCUUACAACGAAAAUCACCGAUGGAACUCAGCAAUGCAUCAAACUUUCCUGCUGGAAUACAAAGAUGUAUGAAUAUCAGAACCUAAUUGGCAACGAAGAGGUCUGCAUUAAAAAAGCAGUGGUAAAAAGUUACCAAGGAACUAAAUACAUUGAACUGAGUCAACAAAA
rnacentral:lncRNA from 1 species